ensembl:snRNA U6 U6 spliceosomal RNA
GUGCUUGCUUUGGUAGCACGUAUUCUAAAAUUGGAAUGAUACAGAGAUUAGCAUGGCCCCUGGACAAAGAUGAUGUGCAAAUCUUUGAAGCAUUUCAUGUUUUU